UAUUACUUAUGUUUUUGGUAUGAUACCAUUUUUCAAUUCCCUAAUUUAUUUAAUCUGUCAAAUGGUGAAACUAACCGUUUCUGAUAUUCUUAAAUCUGAGGGGUUUUAUGUUUGAAUUUCUGAGCACCUUGCUUUGCUAUAAGUAUGCAAAAACUUUUGAAUAAAUGAAUUAAUCAUUAUUGUUUUUCAGUGCUUUGCAUUUUUUAUGCCAUAUAAGUUGUUUUUCAACUUUUUAGCAGCUUUUUUAAAUUUCAAUGUUUCUGUAUCUACAAGUGACUGAUGAAUUCCUCUUGCAUACCUGUGAAUUCUCUUGUACUGUGAAUGUAGCUACAGACACUACUUAAUGUGCGGAAUUUUGUAUCUUUUUCUGUCUCACUUACUGUAUCUAUAUUUUUCAUUUGCUUAAUAUCAGUAUCUAUCAAAUAAGAGAAAAAAAAUGUAUAUACAGUGUAAGAGUUUUUUUUUUGCACUAUCACUGAAUUAUCAACUAUUUAUUUUUAAUUGACUUUUAAGUAAAAAUAAUACAAAUGGGUAGAGGAUGAUAUACUGAUUGUAUAUACAUUUUUAUACCAUCAAUACAUAGAUAUUAAUCUCAUCAAAUAGUAAGAUAUCAUU